rnacentral:lncRNA from 1 species
CUCAGCAGAGGCGCUCGGGCAGAUUCCUGUCCUGUGCUGCAGCCUCUCACCUGAAUCCCAGAGCUCUUGUGAAGUUACUUUCAUCUAUGGAUGGUUAUUAAAUUGGUGUUUUCAGCUUACAGUGAAAGAUCUUCAGAACACCAAUUCAGUUGCCUUCAGGGUUAAACCAUAAUAUCAACACAAAAUGGAUCAAGAGCCAGUCAUCCUAAAAAGACCACAUGCAUGGCCCCUGAUCUAGCAAAAGUAGUCACAAAUGCAGCUGAAUGUGUGGAAACCUCUAAGAGAAAAUGUGUGAAUCACAGAAAGAGUGGCUCCAGUCAUGGAACGUGGAGAAAGCUGCCACAGAAGCAAAGGCUGCCUAUGCUCAUGCCAGCACUGACAGGGAGAACUCUCCGCCCUCUACCUUGGGUAUUCUGGCUCCAAUGACAGGGCUGUCUCUGGAAUGAAGGUAGAAGCAGGGGCCAAACUAAAUGAACUUCAAAUACCCUGAUCUAACUAGCUACUCUAAACCACUGUGAGAUGGAUUGGUGGCAACUUACACUUCCAAUUCAUCCAAUUCCUUUCCCUAUGAUUCCCUCACUCACAAAAACCUGCUCAUUACCAUUGGCCUCCCUUAUAGAUCUAUGUACAGGAACAGUUGGGGGCUGUUUGGGGAAUGUGCUUUGGCUCUUUUGAUAGUUCCCAUUCUAUCAGUGGGGCUUGGGUAAUAUGAAUCUGCAACUGACCGGGGCUGGGGAGAUGUUACUCUCAGAUGGUUGGGUUUAUCCUAUUUAUGAAUCCACAGGCCCAAAGGUUAAAUGGUGGACCAAUUAAAUUUACCAAAGGCAGGCAUGUUUCCCCGUGAGGUGUCCUGGCAACAGGCGGCCCUCCUGGACAUGCCACAGCAUGUCAGGGGCUGCUUUUCAUGACUGAAUCCGCUCCACCGCACCCCUCUGCAGGCUCCUUCCCCACUCACCUUGUCCUUUUUCUUUCCUGCUUUCACUGGGCGCUCCCUUUCUCUGUCCACAGCUAGCUUUAAGUUUUUAAGUUCCUGUCUCAUCAACUCAUCAACCUAGGAGAAUACAAAACAUACUACUUUUAAGUCACUUUGCAUGUCUUGUGUUUUGUUUGUGAAGUUUAAAAAUCCCUUAAAUUAUGGGGUAGGUCAUUAGUAGGAAAUUGUAAAGAAGCACAAUGGUUGAAGUAAAUGAUUUGCUGUUACUACACCAUAAACGUAGCUGUACCUGUAUCCUGAUCUCUGACUGUAAUUCUUUUCGUUUCUCCUCUUUGAUCAGUUCUGGAUCAUAGUCCUGAGAGAAAUUCCAAGACUCAUCUUUUUUCAUCCAGAUUUCUACACUCCAGAAGGGUAAAGAAAAAGAAAAAGAAAAAAUUUUAAAAAGAUAUAGGUUAAUGAAAUUUUAAAAAGACGUAGGUUAAUUGUAAGUUAUUGCAAUAUAAACAUAAGCCUAACUUUAUAUGUUAUUGCAUAGGAUAAAAGUUUGAAUAAAAUAAGCUGGACAGAUGAGAUUCAUAUAUGUGCUUGUAAAUGCACUAAAAAAAGAAAAAAAACUGCUGAUGUAAAAAUAUUGAGUUUUAGUUUACUCAAUAUUUUUUAAGUGUGAUACAAUAGUAUUCUACUGUAUUAUUAUAAUCAUGUAAAAACAAUAUGUUAAUGCUGGGAUUAUACAAUCACAGAUGACCUUUUUUGUAAUGUUUUAUCUUACUUUUUUUCUUCAAAUGAUUCACUAAAAUACGAAAGAUUUUGUUGCCUGUUGAACUCUCCAGGAAUUAUCCCUUGC